UCAGGCCCCCACGCUUCAUGGGACUUCCUGCUCAGUGAACAACAAUCCGUGUACAGGGGGAGUGACACAGACACUCCACAGGGAGAGGGCAGGGAAGCCCCGUGCCUGCCACCCUCCCAGACCUUGCUGUGAGUCUCGUCAUCUAGGUUGGCCAAGAAAUAAAAUAAGCAGACUAAAAGAUUUACAUGAGCAAAAAAUAAUCAAUAGAUAAACCCAUCAAUGUAGAUAUAAAAGAAAAAAUGGAUAUUGUUGAAAAUAACUUCAGCAAGAAGAAGACAAAAGGAAAAAAUGAGUACUGUUAGAUGCAUAGAAAUAAUAUAUAUUUAAUUUUUAAUAAAUUCUGUUUAUUUUGAAGAUA